rnacentral:rRNA from 1 species
UCAUUACCGAGUCUUACAACUCCCAAACCCCUGUGAAUAUACCAUCGUUGCUUCGGCGGAUCACCCCGGGCGCUUCGGCGCCCCGGACCCAGGUGCCCGCCGGAGGACCCAAACUCUUGUUUUAGCAGUGGCAUCUUCUGAGUAAUUUUAUAAAUAAAUCAAAACUUUCAACAACGGAUCUCUUGGUUCUGGCAUCGAUGAAGAACGCAGCGAAAUGCGAUAAGUAAUGUGAAUUGCAGAAUUCAGUGAAUCAUCGAAUCUUUGAACGCACAUUGCGCCCGCUAGUAUUCUGGCGGGCAUGCCUGUCUGAGCGUCAUUUCAACCCUCGGGCCCCUUCGGGCCCGGCGUUGGGGAUCGGCCGUCCACCGCGGCGGCCGGCCCCGAAAUUCAGUGGCGGUCUCGCUGUAGCCUUCUCUGCGUAGUAGUAAAACCCUCGCAGGCGGAGAGCGGCCUGANCACGCCGUAAAACACCCAACUUUACCAAGGUUGACCUCAGAUCAGGUAGGAAUACCCGCUGAACUUAAGCAUAUCAAUAAGCGGAGGAAAAGAAACCAACAGGGAUUGUCCUAGUAACGGCGAGUGAAGCGACAACAGCUCAAAUUUGAAAUCUGGCCCCAGGCCCGAGUUGUAAUUUGUAGAGGAUGUUUCUGGUGAGGUGCCUUCCGAGUUCCCUGGAACGGGACGCCAUAGAGGGUGAGAGCCCCGUCUGGUCGCGCGCUAAGCCUAUGUGAAACUCCUUCGACGAGUCGAGUAGUUUGGGAAUGCUGCUCUAAAUGGGAGGUAUACGUCUUCUAAAGCUAAAUAUUGGCCAGAGACCGAUAGCGCACAAGUAGAGUGAUCGAAAGAUGAAAAGCACUUUGAAAAGAGGGUUAAAUAGUACGUGAAAUUGUUGAAAGGGAAGCAUUUAUGACCAGACUUGGGCCCGGUUAAUCAUCCGGCGUUCUCGCCGGUGCACUUGGCCGGCCCAGGCCAGCAUCAGUUUGCCCCGGGGGAUAAAGGUUUCGGGAAUGUGGCCACCUCGGUGGUGUUAUAGCCCGUUGCGUAAUAUCCUGGGGCGGACUGAGGUUCGCGCAUUUUUGCUAGGAUGCUGGCGUAAUGGUCAUCAAUGACC